rnacentral:rRNA from 1 species
UGCAAGCCGAGCGGUAGAGAUCUUUCGGGAUCUUGAGAGCGGCGUACGGGUGCGGAACACGUGUGCAACCUGCCUUUAUCAGGGGGAUAGCCUUUCGAAAGGAAGAUUAAUACCCCAUAAUAUAUUGAGUGGCAUCACUUAAUAUUGAAAACUCCGGUGGAUAGAGAUGGGCACGCGCAAGAUUAGAUAGUUGGUGAGGUAACGGCUCACCAAGUCUGCGAUCUUUAGGGGGCCUGAGAGGGUGAUCCCCCACACUGGUACUGAGACACGGACCAGACUCCUACGGGAGGCAGCAGUGAGGAAUAUUGGACAAUGGGUGCGAGCCUGAUCCAGCCAUCCCGCGUGAAGGACGACGGCCCUAUGGGUUGUAAACUUCUUUUGUAUAGGGAUAAACCUACUCUCGUGAGAGUAGCUGAAGGUACUAUACGAAUAAGCACCGGGCUAACUCCGUGCCCAGCAGCCGCGGUAAUACGGAGGGUGCAAGCGUUAUCCGGAUUUAUUGGGUUUAAAGGGUCCGUAGGCGGAUCUGUAAGUCAGUGGUGAAAUCUCACAGCUUAACUGUGAAACUGCCAUUGAUACUGCAGGUCUUGAGUGUUGUUGAAGUAGCUGGAAUAAGUAGUGUAGCGGUGAAAUGCAUAGAUAUUACUUAGAACACCAAUUGCGAAGGCAGGUUACUAAGCAACAACUGACGCUGAUGGACGAAAGCGUGGGGGAGCGAACAGGAUUAGAUACCCUGGUAGUCCACGCCGUAAACGAUGCUAUCUCGUUUUUGGGUUUUCGGAUUCAGAGACUAAGCGAAAGUGAUAAGUUAGCCACCUGGGGGAGUACGAACGCAAGUUUGAAACUCAAAGGAAUUGACGGGGGCCCGCACAAGCGGUGGAUUAUGUGGUUUAAUUCGAUGAUACGCGAGGAACCUUACCAAGGCUUAAAUGGGAAAUGACAGGCUUAGAAAUAGGCUUUUCUUCGGACAUUUUUCAAGGUGCUGCAUGGUUGUCGUCAGCUCGUGCCGUGAGGUGUUAGGUUAAGUCCUGCAACGAGCGCAACCCCUGUCACUAGUUGCCAUCAUUAAGUUGGGGACUCUAGUGAGACUGCCUACGCAAGUAGAGAGGAAGGUGGGGAUGACGUCAAAUCAUCACGGCCCUUACGCCUUGGGCCACACACGUAAUACAAUGGCCGGUACAGAGGGCAGCUACACUGCGAAGUGAUGCAAAUCUCGAAAGCCGGUCUCAGUUCGGAUUGGAGUCUGCAACUCGACUCUAUGAAGCUGGAAUCGCUAGUAAUCGCGCAUCAGCCAUGGCGCGGUGAAUACGUUCCCGGGCCUUGUACACACCGCCCGUCAAGCCAUGGAAGUCUGGGGUACCUGAAGUCGGUGACCGUAACAGGAGCUGC